rnacentral:lncRNA from 1 species
CUGGGAUUUCAGAUGACUGUUCCCGUAAUUGUUUUCCAGAAAGAGGGAAAGACGUGAUGACGCAGAAGAGAUGCCAAGGAUGGCUCUUUUGGUUUCUGUCUAUCACGAGUUGGACAGGGGUGUCAUUCCCUGUGAGAGAAGCAAAGAACCGAUUUGCCUCAACAAAGGAAGCAUCAUGUUACAUCUUUUAAAUAAUUGAUGACUCUCAGUCCGAGCCAGCUUGAAGGAAAUUCUGAAAAUAGAGCUGACAAUUUACUGGUUCAUCAAUGAAACAAUAUUACAUUAUGAAGAUGUAAGGAAAAAAUUCUACGCUAACAUUGUUGCAGUUUGAAAGGUAAGCUGUUCCCUAAAAAAUUAGGAGUCGUGAAUGAUCCUUUAAAGCCACAGAACAUAAUGCCAUGUGUUACACACUGAAGAGUUAAGUGGCCUCUUCACAUCUUUGUCCCUGUGGUCCUGGCAAGGAUUUCAUUAGUAUGUGAAGAGUCACCCAUGUUUCCCUCAUUCUGUCUUUUAAAAUGCAAGAACAUUGUUUUCAAGCUUUU